GCAGAGCAUCCUACGGGAGGCAGCAGUGGGGAAUAUUGCACAAUGGGCGCAAGCCUGAUGCAGCCAUGCCGCGUGUAUGAAGAAGGCCUUCGGGUUGUAAAGUACUUUCAGCAGUGAGGAAGGUGGGUAUGUUAAUAGCAUACUCAUUUGACGUUAGCUGCAGAAGAAGCACCGGCUAACUCCGUGCCAGCAGCCGCGGUAAUGCGGAGGGUGCGAGCGUUAAUCGGAAUUACUGGGCGUAAAGCGCAUGCAGGUGGUUUGUUAAGUCAGAUGUGAAAGCCCGGGGCUCAACCUCGGAAUUGCAUUUGAAACUGGCAAACUAGAGUACUGUAGAGGGGGUAGAAUUUCAGGUGUAGCGGUGAAAUGCGUAGAGAUCUGAAGGAAUACCGGUGGCGAAGGCGGCCCCCUGGACAGAUACUGACACUCAGAUGCGAAAGCGUGGGGAGCAAACAGGAUUAGAUACCCUGGUAG
rnacentral:rRNA from 1 species